rnacentral:rRNA from 1 species
GUUGAUCCUGGCUCAGGAUGAACGCUAGCUACAGGCUUAACACAUGCAAGUCGAGGGCAGCAUGAUCGAAGCUUGCUUGAUGAUGGCGACCGGCGCACGGGUGAGUAACGCGUAUCCAACCUUCCCUGUAGUAGAGAAUAGCCCGGCGAAAGUCGGAUUAAUGCUCUAUGUUGUAUUUAGAAGACAUCUGAAGAAUACCAAAGGUUUACCGCUAUAGGAUGGGGAUGCGUCUGAUUAGGUGUUGGCGGGUAACGGCCCACCAAGCCCACGAUCAGUAGGGGUUCUGAGAGGAAGGUCCCCCACAUUGGAACUGAGACACGGUCCAAACUCCUACGGGAGGCAGCAGUGAGGAAUAUUGGUCAAUGGACGAAAGUCUGAACCAGCCAAGUAGCGUGCAAGGAUGACGGCCCUAUGGGUUGUAAACUGCUUUUAUAUAGGGAUAAAGUGCACUACGUGUAGUGUUUUGUAGGUACUAUAUGAAUAAGGACCGGCUAAUUCCGUGCCAGCAGCCGC